rnacentral:rRNA from 1 species
UAGGGAAUCUUCGGCAAUGGGGGGAACCCUGACCGAGCAACGCCGCGUGAGUGAAGAAGGUUUUCGGAUCGUAAAGCUCUGUUGUUAAGGAAGAACGAGUGUGAGAAUGGAAAGUUCAUACUGUGACGGUACUUAACCAGAAAGGGACGGCUAACUACGUGCCAGCAGCCGCGGUAAUACGUAGGUCCCGAGCGUUGUCCGGAUUUAUUGGGCGUAAAGCGAGCGCAGGCGGUUAGAUAAGUCUGAAGUUAAAGGCAGUGGCUCAACCAUUGUAGGCUUUGGAAACUGUUUAACUUGAGUGCAGAAGGGGAGAGUGGAAUUCCAUGUGUAGCGGUGAAAUGCGUAGAUAUAUGGAGGAACACCGGUGGCGAAAGCGGCUCUCUGGUCUGUAACUGACGCUGAGGUUCGAAAGCGUGGGUAGCAAACAGG